AUGAUUUCUUUUGAAAGGGUUUCUCCUUGAUGCAGAUCUAGUAGUUGGGAAGUGUUGUGCUUGAAUGAGGAUGUGUUUGAAAUUUGAGUUGGAGAUUGAAGUUUAUUGGAUCUGUAUUUAUGGGUUCAGAAUUGAGAAGUGAUGGGAAGAAAACAGUGUAAUUGGGUGUCUAAGAGGGCCUACUUCAUCAAUGCUCACAUGGGAUGCUUAUUCGGUUUGAAUACACACACUUCAUCAUGUGCUCUAACUACUGGUGAGCAGUCCAUUCGUUCCAAUUUUGUACAGUUAUAGGCCAAGAUAAGAGGCCAAUAAAACUUCUAAACCAAAUUUGAUGUCGUGGAAGAUCAACUGAUGACAAAGUCAUGUGACAAACUUCCAUCAUCCGUCCCUGCCUGCAUUUCUAAUCUGACUGGAGAAGAAUUGUAUACUGGAGGGUACCAAACUGGAAUAAAUUAUCGUUGAAAAAGACUAAUCAAUAAAUGGAUUCCAGCUCACUUGUAAAAUUUUCUUUCAGACAAGAAUAAUAUUGGUCUCCAGCAUGCUAUAAUCUUAGAUGUUUACCAUUUAGGAUUGUCUAAUACAUUUUCGCUUAUGUGUGAUAUGAGAUGCGUGUAAUGUUUGUCCAUAGGUCUGACGCGUCUAUUACAUGCAGUCAAAUUCCUUUCCUUACUCAUUAACUAUCUUUGUCUAAAUUGGUCUAUGCAUGUCCCUUUUCUCCACUCAUUUCGUUUUCUUGAUAUCUUUUGUUAGAAGCACUUGUGCUGAUACUAUAUAAAGAGCCAAUAAGAUUUUAUAUGCAAGCUGCAUAUUUUCUGAUAAAUUCUUGUAUUUUACGUUUUUCCUCCUAAUGGCAUACCAGAAGAUCGGGUGGCUUCUCCAGUUUAUGUUACUUUGAAUGCAGACUUUAAAUGCGACUUCCAUUCUUCAGAAGGAGUAGUGCUUCAAGUCUAUGGAAGUGAGCAAGAGUUGUUGGGGAAGAUGGGAGGCAGUUUUUCAUUCUUGAACCAGCUGCUCUUUUAGGAUAUGGUCGCUCAUUCAGGAAUUAAGCCAAGAUAUGGAAUGAUUUAGAAAUUUACAUAGCAGGAAUCUCAAAGUUUCAAACUAGGAACAACAGACUUGAAAGUGGAGCAUGAUUCUACCAUGGAUUAAGGUUGAUUUUGACAGUGACCUGCUCUUGAAGGUUGACACAAUUACUUGGGUCCAGGGAAACAGAGAUCGGCUUACUGUUUUAUUUGCUUUAACGCUGAAAAGUUACAUAUGCUUUUUCUGAGAUUUUGUCAAUUUGUUCAGAGGUCAGUAUUCAUAGUUGAUGGAUAAAGCCGAAAAACUGUAUGCGAGAUAGGUAGACAUUCUUGAAUUGAGAAAAAACUGAAGUUGGAUGGUUUUCAUUUUGAGCUCCUAACGAUCAGUAUGGAGGACAUGUUUACUGAGCAUUCUCAAGUCUUAAAUAGUAGCAAACACUACUAGGAAAUCUUUAUCGCAAGAGCUUGAUUUCAACAAAUUCAGUGACAAAAAGGCAAGAUUAAGUUGUGGCAAAUGAUUGUAGGAUUCUAGAUGAAGCAUCAAAAUAAUUUUCUAUCUAAAAAGGAAUGUGAUCUUGAUAUUAUAUUAUACAAUUCUCAAAGGAACGGAACAUAAUUCAAUGCAGUUGCUUAUUAAGAAGAAACAAGAGCAAACUACUGAUCGCAUAUGAAAAUGACCAAUUUGUUAUCUAAUAUCUUCUUGUCCAUUCCCAUCCGUAGGUUCAAAAACUUCACAAGAUAUGUUGUCUGGUGUAAAACGUGAUAUAUUAUAUCUGACAGAAUUUGGAUGUUCGGCUUAUGCUCGCAAUAAACAAGAUAAGUGACCAUGGAGCUGAAAAGAUGCGUCUACCUGGGGAUCGGGUGAUGUCAAAGAAAAAGCUGUGGGGUUUUUUGCGACUGUGCCAUGACACCAUGUUGACCAAAGAGUUCUUUGUAUGGAUUGCAGCAAUCAUUCAAAGGUGAGUGCUUUUGUGAUAUAAAAAGGAUCUUCAAGAAGCCUUUAAGAUAGCGUCAAAGUCAUUAACCAUCUAUCUUUAGCUCCAUGCUUGGUGUUUGAGUCCAAGUUCUUUCGUACUAAUUGGGAUAUUCCCCCUCUCAAUCCUUAUUGAGACUUCUUUCCAAUGAAGAAUAGCCCUUUUUUGGGCCGCCUUAUAGCAUGACCAAUUGUAAUUGCAUAAUAUAGUGAUGGGACCUCUGGUCAUUCUGCUAUUGAUGUCUCAACUUUUUACUUUCUUUAUAUGUUCUAGCUCUCGAGAACUUUUUGAAGUUUGCUAAGCGUGAGAUCACUAAGGUCCUGUUUGAGAA